AAAGUCUUUGAAUGUUUACUAUCAUCGAGUSGCGACUUCUAGGAGACGCGAUUCUUUGAGAUAAAAGUUAUUACAACUUUCAGCAAUGGAUCUCUUGGCUCUCGCAUCGAUGAAGAACGCAGCGAAAAGCGAUAUGUAAUGUGAAUUGCAGAUCUACAGUGAAUCAUCGAAUCUUUGAACGCACCUUGCGCUCCUCGGGGUUCCGAGGAGCAUGCCUGUUUGAGUGUCAGUAAAUUCUCAACCCCUCUCGAUUAGCUUCGAGAGGGUGCUUGGAUAGNGGAGGUUGCCGGAGACUCGGAUUCGUCCAGGACUCGGGCUCUUCUGAAAUGCAUUGGCUUGCGGUCGACUUUYGACUAUGCUCGACAAGGCUUUCGGCGUGAUAAUGAUCGCCGUUCGCCGAAGCGCAUGACCGAAGGUUCCGUGCCUCUAAUACGUCGACCACUUAUUAUCUCUCCGGAGAGAACAGGGAUCUUCCUUAUUGACUUUUGACCUCAAAUCAGGAGAGACUACCCCG
rnacentral:rRNA from 1 species